rnacentral:lncRNA from 10 species
GGUCCUAAUGGGCUAAAAUCAGGGUUUCAGCAGGCUUGUGUUGCUUUCUGGAGUCGCUAUAAGAGAAUCCAUCCAUUCACUGGCCUUUUCCAGCUUCUAGACCAAGCUCGCAUUCUUCAGCUCCUAGCCAUUUUCUCCAACUUCCAAAGAAUGCUCCAAAGUUUAGGAGAAGAUGGAAGAAUUGGGGAGUAGGAGACAGCAGCAGAGACAUCCUGGAAAGGUUGGAAAGGACUGGCUAGAGAAUUGCAAUCAUCAUGGAUGACUGAGGUGGACAUGCCUAAAGUUAUGGAGAAAAAUACUUAGAAGAACUUUUAGAGAAGUAAAUAACAGCACAUGCUCCUGCCUACAGAAAGAGAAUAAUUCAGAAAGCAAUGUAGUCUACAAUUUACCAAGAAGAAUUGGCAGAGCAAAGACAGAAGCCUCACCAAAAUGAUGACAUUAUUCACAUUAACACAUAAUGGCUCUGUGUGUUAUUAUCAGACAACCUAUCUCUACUGAAAGUGAUGCUCAUUGAUAAAAACUAAAUUAGUAAGCCAGCAUACUAGUUUGUGUUUCAAGCAAGCUUUAUAAAACUUUUAUUUGGUCAAAGCUAGUAUAAAUGUUCUUAUCCAAGUCAAAGAAUUUUGGAAUUACAAAUAAAAA